rfam:Danio rerio chromosome 4, GRCz11 reference primary assembly.
AGCGCUGUUGCCUAGUUGGUCAAAGUGGCUGCCUAGCAAACAGGAGAUCUUGGGUUAGAAUCCCAGCAGUGCCU